UGGGGAAUAUUGCGCAAUGGGGGAAACCCUGACGCAGCGACGCCGCGUGCGGGAUGAAGGCCUUCGGGUUGUAAACCGCUUUUGAUUGGGAGCAAGCCUUUCGGGCGAGUGUACCUUUCGAAUAAGCGCCGGCUAACUACGUGCCAGCAGCAGCGGUAAUACGUAGGGCGCAAGCGUUAUCCGGAAUUAUUGGGCGUAAAGAGCUUGUAGGCGGUUCGUCGCGUCUGGGGUGAAAGCCCAUCGCUUAACGGUGGGUUGGCGCCGGGUACGGGCGGGUUGGAGUGCAGUAGGGGAGACUGGAAUUCCCGGUGUAACGGUGGAAUGUGUAGAUAUCGGGAAGAACACCAAUGACGAAGGCAGGUCUCUGGGCUGUUACUGACGCUGAGAAGCGAAAGCGUGGGGAGCGAACAGG
rnacentral:rRNA from 1 species